rnacentral:lncRNA from 1 species
AGUCUGACAGCAAUUCGAGUUUCGUUCGCAUGGAAGAGUUGCAUUAUUGUAUGUUUACUGCAAAAGGUAUGCAUUUUCACAAAUACUAUCAUCCAUGUUAUAGCAACUCAACAUAGAAGCGAUCGAACCUCUUAAUGGUCCAAUUUGUCAAAACACCGCUGCAGAAUGAAUACCUAGGAANUCGAAAACGGGUUAACGGUUUGAUUUUUAGGCGCGAAAACGUGAAGGGUGAAAAUCUGAUGCUGUCGAAAUCAUGAGGCGAUUCUAGUGAUCAUGAGGCGAUUUCGACAAAAAAUCUGUAAUUUUAGUAUGUUUGAUGCUGUCGAAAUCAUGAGGCGAUUCUAGUGAUCAUGACAGAAAAUCUGUAAUUUUAGUAUGUCUGAUGCUGUCGAAAUCAUGAGGCGAUUCUAGUGAUCAUGAGGCGAUUUUGACAGAAAAAUCUGUCAUUUUAGUAUGUCUGAUGCUGUCUUACCAGAAACCUUAAAAAUGCAAUUCUCUUCACUCCAAAUAUUUCCAGACUUCUUCUUAAGUGUAGGAACUUUAUCCUAAUCAUCUAGAGAUGUUUUUUAGGAAGGAGAUAACCUUGUAUAAAGGGUCUAAUGAGUUCAUGAGUUGGUCUUUAGGGUAGGAAUGGUAGUUGUUUACAAUAUUAAUGAUAAUCUAUGAAGCUGUUUUAGGAUGUGUUGAUGUUGAUUAUGAUGUCGUACUUAUUACUUGAAUUAUGAAUGUAUAUUUGAGAUGUUGUUGAAUUACAUUUGAUAUUAUUAUGUCAUGUUGUUUUGUAUACUGUUGUGUCGCUGUUGUUAUUUAACUAAGCUGCAUGAGUCGGUCUAAGUUAAUUAAGAUGAUGAGGUUCCAAAGCAUUGGAUUAUAUAAGAGGUUGUGGAUUUAAGAUGUUUAAGAGGUCGAGUCCAUGCAUUAGCAUUUCAUUGUUGGGGCUUGAUGCCCUGGAGCCUUUGCUCAAUUAAGUUGAGGGCUUGAUGCCCUUUGAGCCUUUUUACGCUCAAAUAAAGUUGAGGGUUUGAUGCCCUGGGAGCCUAUUUACGCUCAAAUACGUUGGGGGCUUNUACAAAUUUGCUACUAAUUAGCUACUAAAUGAGUAACAAUUUUUAGGUGCUGCAAGUUUUACUCUCAAAUGUUACUGAAAUCAUUUAGUAACACGGGCUUUACCUAACAUUUGUCAAAUGUUACAAGAUCUAAAUAGUAACAGUUGUUUUUGAUUUAGUUACAAUUUUGAAGUGUUACUAAAUCUUAUAUAUGUAGUAGUGAAUCAAUGGCUACAAGAUGAUUUCGAGCAUGGUGGAAGAGCUGUAACUUUCCUAUUCUAAAUGGCAUCCUAAAUAGUUAUAACAAUUUAGCAUAUCCAAAGUUCAAACAAGCAAACUUGUGCGUAUUUACACCAAAAGUUUUAGCUUUCAAAAAAACCAGAGGACGUAAACGUAGGAUUAAAUAUUUGUAGCAACUUUACACAAAUCUAUCCUAAAAUUCUAACAGAGAGAUGGCAGGAUGUACUCAGAUUGAUCUGCCAGACCAAAAGGAGCGUAAGGCAUAGCCCCUUUCCUACAGCAACGGUUGAUAAUUCCCUUCCACUUUAUGUAGAAAUAUAUUAGAAAGCUGAAUCUAUAUUGCCACAAAUGCCACUGUUGUAGAAUUCUUUAGGACAUUUAUUUGCAUAACAAUUAGAUUUGGGAAGUUUGUGUAUUUCAAUUUCAUUGUUACCUACCUAGCUAUAAUAGAAUUCAAUUUACAAUACCUCUUAUUGGGAAGAUUCAGAAUAAUAAUUAGCAUAAAUAAUCAAGUAUUUGUACUUUUGUAGUGUUGAUUGCUUACAAUAAAAUAUCCAGAUUCACUGUUGUAACUGCAUCACACGGUUGAAUGCAGAAUAUACUGUGAGCCAAUAAUUUUAUAUCAAACAACUCGACGACACAUUCACCAAAUUGGCUUAGAUUAGGCAGUCAACAUCAGUGACUUUAACAUGACAAGGUAUUCGAUUCCACAUAACAUCUAGCAUUACUAGCGUCACAUUUCAAAAUAAAUGUACACAUAAAGAUGACAUACAAUCCCUUAUCUGAAGUUGUAUUUGAGCUGAAUUUCACAAUUCGUAUCAAACUAGGUCACCAGUCUGACAGCAAUUCGAGUUUCGUUCGCAUGGAAGAGUUGCAUUAUUGUAUGUUUACUGCAAAAGGUAUGCAUUUUCACAAAUACUAUCAUCCAUGUUAUAGCAACUCAACAUAGAAGCGAUCGAACCUCUUAAUGGUCCAAUUUGUCAAAACACCGCUGCAGAAUGAAUACCUAGGAAAGGGUCUUGCUAGCAAGGAUCUGAUGCCAAGACGAAUGAAAGUAUGGAACUUGGAACUGGGCGAGGUGAUAUCUCUUUUUGAACUGACUCAAUGGAGAUUUACUGGAAAUUUUUACCAAGUUCUUGAUUGUGCCAAUGUCCUAUAAUGCAUACUGGUGUAUAGGUGUCAUGAGUUAAAGCUUCAAUAUAUUUCAACUUACAAUUACAUUAGAUUGAAGCAACCAAUUUUUCCUUUUUUAGAAUGAAUGUUGGUUGAAUGUUUUUAUUGUUUUACAUCAACGGGAAGGCAUUGUAUUAGAUUCUUGGGUAUAAAAAGAUGCAUUAUGCAGUCUCAGUAUGCCAUACUUAUUUAAUAGAGAAGUCUAAUACAUGUUUAUUACAA